AGUGAACGCUGGCGGUAGGCCUAACACAUGCAAGUCGAACGGCAGCACAGUAAGAGCUUGCUCUUACGGGUGGCGAGUGGCGGACGGGUGAGGAAUACAUCGGAAUCUACUUUUUCGGGGGGGAUAACGUAGGGAAACUUACGCUAAUACCGCGUACGACCUACGGGUGAAAGCAGGGGAUCUUCGGACCUUGCGCGACUGAAUGAGCCGAUGUCGGAUUAGCUAGUUGGCGGGGUAAGGGCCCACCAAGGCGACGAUACGUAGCUGGUCUGAGAGGAUGAUCGGCCACACUGGAACUGAGACACGGUCCAGACUCCUACGGGAGGCAGCAGUGGGGAAUAUUCGACAAUGGGCGCAAGCCUGAUCCAGCCACACCGCGUGGGUGAUGAAGGCCUUCGGGUUGUAAAGCCCUUUUGUUGGGAAAGAACAGCAGCAGGUUAAUCCCCCGCUGUUCUGACGGUACCCAAAGAAUAAGCACCGGCUAACUUCGUG
rnacentral:rRNA from 1 species